CCUACGGGAGGCAGCAGUGGGGAAUCUUGCGCAAUGGGCGAAAGCCUGACGCAGCCAUGCCGCGUGAAUGAUGAAGGUCUUAGGAUUGUAAAAUUCUUUCAGUAGGGACGAUAAUGACGGUACCUACAGAAGAAGCCCCGGCUAACUUCGUGCCAGCAGCCGCGGUAAUACGAAGGGGGCUAGCGUUGCUCGGAAUUACUGGGCGUAAAGGGAGCGUAGGCGGGUUAUCAAGUUGGAGGUGAAAGCCCAGGGCUCAACCUUGGAAUAGCCUUCAAAACUGAUAACCUAGAGGAUGGAAGAGGUAAGUGGAACUCCGAGUGUAGAGGUGAAAUUCGUAGAUAUUCGGAAGAACACCAGUGGCGAAGGCGACUUACUGGUCCAUUACUGACGCUGAGGCUCGAAAGCGUGGGGAGCAAACAGGAUUAGAUACCCUGGUAGUCCACGCUGUAAACGAUGAUUGCUAGUUGUCGGCAGCAUGCUCGUCGGUGACGCAGCUACGACAUAAGUACAACUCCGCCGUCGGGGAGGUACGGUCGCGAAGAAUUAAACUAACAAAGGAAGUUAGACGGCGNGAGACGUGCCGAACGGACGACGACGAGGGAGGUAGG
rnacentral:rRNA from 1 species